GCCGCUGCUAAAGCAAAUGACCCAAACAUGUCCCCUCUCUGGGUUUGGGCUCCUGGCACUGAAGUGGGAUGCAUAGUG
rnacentral:snoRNA from 1 species